rnacentral:rRNA from 1 species
UACGGAGGAUCCGAGCGUUAUCCGGAUUUAUUGGGUUUAAAGGGUGCGCAGGCGGGAGAUUAAGUCGGCGGUGAAAUUUUGCAGCUCAACUGUAAAAGUGCCUUCGAAACUGGUUUCCUUGAGUGUAGAUGAAGUAGGCGGAAUUUGUGGUGUAGCGGUGAAAUGCAUAGAUAUCACGAGGAACUCCGAUUGCGCAGGCAGCUUACUAAACUACUACUGACGCUCAGGCACGAAGGCGUGGGGAUCAAACAGGAUUAGAUACCCGUGUA